rnacentral:lncRNA from 1 species
CUUUUCCUUCAAAUGUGUCCUAGCAAUCGUAAUGCUCAUUCUUUCCAAUAAUGUGUGUGUGUGUGUGUGUGUACGUGUGUGUGCAUGUGUAAUGCCACUAAUCUCAUCAUGGGGGCCUUACUCUCAUGACCUCAUCUAAACCAAUUUAGCUCCCAAAAGCCCUGUCUCCAAAUACCAUCUCACUGGGAGUUAAAGCCUCAGUGUAUAAAUUGGGGGAGAACACAAACAUUCGGUUCACAACAGUCUCCAAACCCCCAAGGCCUAUCCCUCUAAGAAGAUGCACUUCUCAUCCUGCUUGGGGUCUGACUCUGCUCUGAAUCAUUUUCCAUAUGGACACCUCCAUUCCCCACUGGGUGAACUGGAUGCCUACGCUGGGCCACCCCUUUGUGUGGAUGCCCUCCUCUCCCUGACCAGUCUCUGCCUACUUGCUCUGGGCAGCCCCCCUACAGGCACAUGCACCUCACCACAUUUGGGGUCUGAGAGCCCAUCCCCUACCACUGUAGCAUCCCUUCCCCUCUUCCACCCGCAUGAAGCCUACCUGGCUGUGCUCCACCUAAUGACUUUAGAAUUGAAUUGUUUGGGAAGGGAAAGGAAGAGGAAGAGAAGCCACUAUGUUUUUAGAAUCAUCUUGUCAACUUCCAUGAAAAAUCCUCCUGAGAGUUCUAUUGAAGUUGCUUCAAAUCUAUAGAUUGAUUGGUAUCUGUCUUUACUUCCUGGCCGUUUGAAUGAUCUUUGAG